AUUGAACGCUGGCGGCAUGCCUUACACAUGCAAGUCGAACGGUAACGGGCCUUCGGGUGCCGACGAGUGGCGAACGGGUGAGUAAUGCAUCGGAACGUACCUUUCAGUGGGGGAUAACGUAGCGAAAGUUACGCUAAUACCGCAUAUUCUGUGAGCAGGAAAGCAGGGGAUCGCAAGACCUUGUGCUGAUUGAGCGGCCGAUGUCAGAUUAGCUAGUUGGUGAGGUAAAGGCUCACCAAGGCGACGAUCUGUAGCGGGUCUGAGAGGAUGAUCCGCCACACUGGAACUGAGACACGGUCCAGACUCCUACGGGAGGCAGCAGUGGGGAAUUUUGGACAAUGGGGGCAACCCUGAUCCAGCCAUGCCGCGUGAGUGAAGAAGGCCUUCGGGUU
rnacentral:rRNA from 1 species